rnacentral:pre_miRNA from 1 species
AAUGGAAUUGCUAGGUUGAAUGGGAAAGUGUAAUUUUAAAACAUCUGCCAAACUCUUUUCCAAAGUACCUAUAUCAUUUUGCAUUCCUACCAUAAAU